UGUUGGUGACUGCCUACCUCC
rnacentral:siRNA from 1 species